GCAAAAGUCAUAUGAACCCAGUCUGGUGUCUGAGGCUCGUGGGAUUCUAGCUGGGGAUUACUUCUCUGACCCUUCAAGUCCUCUGACUCGGUGUAGCUCCUUAAAGCUAACAGGACACAGAUGAGUGGGGCAGUCUCCGACCUGCGAGGCCUCUCCACACAAAAGCUUCCUUUUCACUACCGUCUCCCACUCCAUGUCUAGCUGCUAAGCCCCUGCACCUGAGCAGUGGAUGUGAUCCAAAGCAGAGUUCCAGAAUAUGGUGCCUCAUAUUUUCCAGGUGCCAGUGGUGGGGUAAAGACCAAGGAGCUCCUUUGAUAGAAACGUCCCAUUCUUACUUCCCAGGUGCCCGAAGCUUCACCUUGCCAGAGAUGCUCUGACUGGGUGGAGGCAACCAGAGAGCAGCACCGGUGCCCUCCAGCUGCAGCCUAGACGGAUGGUGCUUGCACACCAAGGCUCAGGCUUCUUCAGCCACAGUCCAGCCUAGCCACUGCCGCUUUCCACAGGACUUAGAAUUUUCGGAAGCUGCUCGUGAUUGGAGGAGGGGCCUGGAGCCUUCGAGACAGCAGCCAGCCAGCCACAGCCCCAUUUGUAGUCUGGCUCCUCUAUAGGGGUUCGUGCACAGAAAUGCAGGAACUACCCCUCCUUCCCCUCCCCCCCCAAAAGAAAAGAAAAGAAAGAAAGAAAAAGAGAAAAGAAAGAAAGAGAAGAAAGAUCCCAUGCGGAGGCUCUUUGGGCCUGAAGAGAGUUCUAUUCCUUUCCUAUCUCCCCUGACCUCCAUAGUGGGUCUGAUCUACACCCCCUCCCAACCUCCUGUGGCCUUUCCCCACAAAGGUCCCCUGCCCCUCAGCCUUGCCAGGGACUGCUGACUCUUGGCUCCAACCUGCACGGAACUCUGGACACUUAGGUCUCGUCGGGUCCAGUUUAUAGGGCUGCUUCUAUUAAGGGCUGGCUGUCACUUCCAGCAGUCUCCACUUGACCCAGCAGGGAUGGGGAGGGUGACCCCCGGAGCUGGAGGAUUCUGUUUAGGCAGAGUCUUUAGUUUGGCUGAACCCAGAAGCUGGUUCUAAAUUUACAUCACAGUGGAGUACCUCAGGGUCUGGGCCAGUCCUGCUGUUUUGUAAGAUGGGGAGGUGCUGGAGCUUCAGAAUGGGGGUGACCAAAUGAGAAGAUGCAGGCUGAAGCCUGGGGCAGGGGAAUGGGCGGCAAGCACCUAGAACAAGAACUUACCAGGUAUCUCAGGUGGAGAACCAGAGGGGAUUUAAGGAACCGGCACCAACCACUGCCACGGGACAGAGACUACAUCUGUGUCCCACUCAUCCCCUGCCCUGGGAACGCGCUCAGCAUUUAGAGAGAUCUGGGAAGUCUGGACAGGUGUGGGGUCCUGGCUGAGAAUGGGAUCCGAUGCUUGGGUGGUGGCAGCUGCUACGGACUGGCAGAAAAUGGGAAUCGCCUCAACUCCUGCGGGUCAGUCGAGCUUCCCCGGGCUCGGAAGAGCGGUACACGCUGAGAGUGACCAAGUUUGGAAGCGUGCACAGUCAGUCCGGGUGGGGGUUGGGGUGGGGAUCACGUUGACUCCGAGCCAGGCCCGUGACCCCCUGGAGAGAAAGCUCCCCACCUCCAGGAGCCCCAGGAGGCUAAACUGAGUUCCAGACGUGUCUGGGCCCUCCCUGCUUCAAGGCCGGGCGCACUCGGGGAAGGCCUAGGUUUGUGUGUGUCACUUUGUUAUUUUUUCCCCUCCAGUGUGUGGUUUUUUUUUUUUUUUUCUUGGAGCUGUUUCAUAGGAAUUCCGGUAAUAAAGACUUGGUGUUCUCUUGGU
rnacentral:lncRNA from 1 species